rnacentral:rRNA from 1 species
AGAGUUUGAUCAUGGCUCAGAUUGAACGCUGGCGGCAGGCCUAACACAUGCAAGUCGAACGGUAACAGGAAGCAGCUUGCUGCUUUGCUGACGAGUGGCGGACGGGUGAGUAAUGUCUGGGAAACUGCCUGAUGGAGGGGGAUAACUACUGGAAACGGUGGCUAAUACCGCAUAACGUCGCAAGACCAAAGAGGGGGACCUUCGGGCCUCUUGCCAUCAGAUGUGCCCAGAUGGGAUUAGCUUGUUGGUGAGGUAACGGCUCACCAAGGCGACGAUCCCUAGCUGGUCUGAGAGGAUGACCAGCCACACUGGAACUGAGACACGGUCCAGACUCCUACGGGAGGCAGCAGUGGGGAAUAUUGCACAAUGGGCGCAAGCCUGAUGCAGCCAUGCCGCGUGUAUGAAGAAGGCCUUCGGGUUGUAAAGUACUUUCAGCGGGGAGGAAGGUGUUGUGGUUAAUAACCGCAGCAAUUGACGUUACCCGCAGAAGAAGCACCGGCUAACUCCGUGCCAGCAGCCGCGGUAAUACGGAGGGUGCAAGCGUUAAUCGGAAUUACUGGGCGUAAAGCGCACGCAGGCGGUCUGUCAAGUCGGAUGUGAAAUCCCCGGGCUCAACCUGGGAACUGCAUUCGAAACUGGCAGGCUUGAGUCUUGUAGAGGGGGGUAGAAUUCCAGGUGUAGCGGUGAAAUGCGUAGAGAUCUGGAGGAAUACCGGUGGCGAAGGCGGCCCCCUGGACAAAGACUGACGCUCAAGUGCGAAAGCGUGGGGAGCAAACAGGAUUAGAUACCCUGGUAGUCCACGCCGUAAACGAUGUCUACUUGGAGGUUGUGCCCUUGAGGCGUGGCUUCCGGAGCUAACGCGUUAAGUAGACCGCCUGGGGAGUACGGCCGCAAGGUUAAAACUCAAAUGAAUUGACGGGGCCCGCACAAGCGGUGGAGCAUGUGGUUUAAUUCGAUGCAACGCGAAGAACCUUACCUGGUCUUGACAUCCACAGAACUUUCCAGAGAUGGAUUGGUGCCUUCGGGAACUGUGAGACAGGUGCUGCAUGGCUGUCGUCAGCUCGUGUUGUGAAAUGUUGGGUUAAGUCCCGCAACGAGCGCAACCCUUAUCCUUUGUUGCCAGCGGUCCGGCCGGGAACUCAAAGGAGACUGCCAGUGAUAAACUGGAGGAAGGUGGGGAUGACGUCAAGUCAUCAUGGCCCUUACGACCAGGGCUACACACGUGCUACAAUGGCGCAUACAAAGAGAAGCGACCUCGCGAGAGCAAGCGGACCUCAUAAAGUGCGUCGUAGUCCGGAUUGGAGUCUGCAACUCGACUCCAUGAAGUCGGAAUCGCUAGUAAUCGUGGAUCAGAAUGCCACGGUGAAUACGUUCCCGGGCCUUGUACACACCGCCCGUCACACCAUGGGAGUGGGUUGCAAAAGAAGUAGGUAGCUUAACCUUCGGGAGGGCGCUUACCACUUUGUGAUUCAUGACUGGGGUGAAGUCGUAACAAGGUAACCGUAGGGGAACCUGCGGUUG